UUGCAGAGGAUGCUUUUGGCGCGGUGCCUUCCGAGUUCCCUGGAACGGGACGCCAUAGAGGGUGAGAGCCCCGUCUGGUCGGACGCCUAGCCUGUGUAAAGCUCCUUCGACGAGUCGAGUAGUUUGGGAAUGCUGCUCUAAAUGGGAGGUAUAUGUCUUCUAAAGCUAAAUACCGGCCAGAGACCGAUAGCGCACAAGUAGAGUGAUCGAAAGAUGAAAAGCACUUUGAAAAGAGGGUUAAAUAGUACGUGAAAUUGUUGAAAGGAAAGCGCUUGUGACCAGACUUGGGCCCGGUGGAUCAUCCAGCGUUCUCGCUGGUGCACUCCGCCGGGUUCAGGCCAGCAUCAGUUCGCCGCGGGGGAAAAAGGCUUCGGGAACGUGGCUCCUACGGNAGUGUUAUAGCCCGUUGCAUAAUACCCUGNGGCGGACUGAGGUUCGCGCUCCGCAAGGAUGCUGGCGUAAUGGUCAUCAGCGACCCGUCUUGA
rnacentral:rRNA from 1 species